rnacentral:rRNA from 1 species
AGCGAUCGCUGGCGGCAGGCUUAACACAUGCAAGUCGAACGGGCACUUCGGUGUCAGUGGCAGACGGGUGAGUAACACGUGGGAACGUACCUUUUGGUUCGGAACAACUGAGGGAAACUUCAGCUAAUACCGGAUAAGCCCUUACGGGGAAAGAUUUAUCGCCGAAAGAUCGGCCCGCGUCUGAUUAGCGAGUUGGUAGGGUAAUGGCCUACCAAGGCGACGAUCAGUAGCUGGUCUGAGAGGAUGAUCAGCCACAUUGGGACUGAGACACGGGCCAAACUCCUACGGGAGGCAGCAGUGGGGAAUAUUGGACAAUGGGGGCAACCCUGAUCCAGCCAUGCCGCGUGAGUGAUGAAGGCCCUAGGGUUGUAAAGCUCUUUUGUGCGGGAAGAUAAUGACGGUACCGCAAGAAUAAGCCCCGGCUAACUUCGUGCCAGCCGCCGCAGUAACAC